AUUGAACGCUGGCGGCAUGCCUUACACAUGCAAGUCGAACGGUAACGCGCCUUCCGGUGUCGCCGCGUGGCGCACGGGUGAGUAAUACAUCUGAACGUGCCCGCUCUUGGGGGAUAACGAGGCGCAAGCUUUGCUUAUACCCCACACGCUCUCCGGAUGUGAGCGGGGGACCGCAAAGCCUUUCGCGCUCUGGGCGCCCGAUGUCGGAUUAGGUAGUUGGUGGGAUAAAAGCUUACCAAGGCGACGAUCUGUAGCUGGUCUGAGAGGAUGAUCAGCCACACUGGGACUGAGACACGGCCCAGACUCCUACGGGAGGCAGCAGUGGGGAAUUUUGGACAAUGGGGGCAAGCCUGAUCCAGCCAUGCCGCGUGCAGGAUGAAGGCCUUCGGGUUGUAAACUGCUUUUGUACGGAAAGAAAAGCUUUCGGUUAAUACAGGAGGGGGAUGACGGUACCGGAAGAAUAAGCACCGGCUAACUACGUG
rnacentral:rRNA from 1 species